GGAUCCUACAGGACAUUCAAUCAUCACGUCUCCUUAGGCCCCUCUCAACUGUGGCAGUUUCUCAGACUUCGUUGUUUUUGCUCUUUCUCUUUCACGUGGGGAGAGUGUGGAACGGCUCAGUUUCUCCAGCAAGGAAUCCUCCUGUCCUGUCUAAAAGGCAACCUGCAUCCUAGGAGCAAAGAGAGGGAAAAGCACUGAGGAGUACGGCCAUGCCAUAGGCAGAUUUGCAAUUAAUUCUCUCGCUUGCAGCCCUAUGACUAAUUCUGGGCCAGGCCGUGCAUAUUGUCUCCAAAUCCUGAGGCUCUUGCCUCCCAUUCUCCAAAGAAUAAUCAGCCUCCUGCCUGGGGGGGUGAUUACACAGCUGCUAGGGUUCUAUGCCUGAGCCGUAAGUGAGGUACACAGACUGUUUCCCAUGUUAACAUAUUCUUCAGUUUAUUCCCACACUCUCUGCUGUACUGGAUUCCUCAGUUUCGGAGCUUCUCCAGGAGUCUACAGGACUAACUUAUUGUCUCCUUGUUAGUACCAACUUCUUGCUUGUCCUUUAAGAUAUGAUAUCCUCAAUCUGGUUAUAUCAGACACCUUUCCUACAUUCCUUUCCUGUCUUUUGAAAUAUGAUUGAAAUAUUUCAUCAAUUAAUGUCUUCUCUCCUAUUCUCUUUGUACUUGCAAGCUUAAGCCUCUUUUAUCUUUUCAAAUAUUUUAGCAGGCUCUCUGAAAGGAGAGGCUAUAAACUUCUAUGUCUAUUCUUCUAUCUUUAAAUUCA
rnacentral:lncRNA from 1 species